rnacentral:rRNA from 1 species
CCUACGGGGGGCAGCAGUGAGGAAUAUUGGUCAAUGGCCGGAAGGCUGAACCAGCCAAGCCGCGUGAAGGACGAAGGUGCCAAGCAUUGUAAACUUCUUUUGUCAAGGGACAAAAUCAGGCUCGAGAGCCUGACCGAGGGUACUUGAAGAAAAAGCAUCGGCGAACUCGGUGCCAGCAGCCGCGGUAAUCCGGAGGAUGCGGGCGUUAUCCGGAUUUAUUGGGUUUAAAGGGUGCGUAGGCGGACGGUUAAGUCAGAGGUAAAAGCCCGGGGCUAAACCCCGGCGAGCCGUUGAAACUGGCUGUCUUGAGAGGAGGAGAGGUAUGCGGAAUGCGCAGUGUAGCGGUGAAAUGCGUAGAUA